UUUAUGGAGAGUUUGAUCCUGGCUCAGGAUGAACGCUGGCGGCGUGCCUAAUACAUGCAAGUCGAGCGAACGGACGAGAAGCUUGCUUCUCUGAUGUUAGCGGCGGACGGGUGAGUAACACGUGGAUAACCUACCUAUAAGACUGGGAUAACUUCGGGAAACCGGAGCUAAUACCGGAUAAUAUUUUGAACCGCAUGGUUCAAAAGUGAAAGACGGUCUUGCUGUCACUUAUAGAUGGAUCCGCGCUGCAUUAGCUAGUUGGUAAGGUAACGGCUUACCAAGGCAACGAUGCAUAGCCGACCUGAGAGGGUGAUCGGCCACACUGGAACUGAGACACGGUCCAGACUCCUACGGGAGGCAGCAGUAGGGAAUCUUCCGCAAUGGGCGAAAGCCUGACGGAGCAACGCCGCGUGAGUGAUGAAGGUCUUCGGAUCGUAAAACUCUGUUAUUAGGGAAGAACAUAUGUGUAAGUAACUGUGCACAUCUUGACGGUACCUAAUCAGAAAGCCACGGCUAACUACGUGCCAGCAGCCGCGGUAAUACGUAGGUGGCAAGCGUUAUCCGGAAUUAUUGGGCGUAAAGCGCGCGUAGGCGGUUUUUUAAGUCUGAUGUGAAAGCCCACGGCUCAACCGUGGAGGGUCAUUGGAAACUGGAAAACUUGAGUGCAGAAGAGGAAAGUGGAAUUCCAUGUGUAGCGGUGAAAUGCGCAGAGAUAUGGAGGAACACCAGUGGCGAAGGCGACUUUCUGGUCUGUAACUGACGCUGAUGUGCGAAAGCGUGGGGAUCAAACAGGAUUAGAUACCCUGGUAGUCCACGCCGUAAACGAUGAGUGCUAAGUGUUAGGGGGUUUCCGCCCCUUAGUGCUGCAGCUAACGCAUUAAGCACUCCGCCUGGGGAGUACGACCGCAAGGUUGAAACUCAAAGGAAUUGACGGGGACCCGCACAAGCGGUGGAGCAUGUGGUUUAAUUCGAAGCAACGCGAAGAACCUUACCAAAUCUUGACAUCCUUUGACAACUCUAGAGAUAGAGCCUUCCCCUUCGGGAGACAAAGUGACAGGUGGUGCAUGGUUGUCGUCAGCUCGUGUCGUGAGAUGUUGGGUUAAGUCCCGCAACGAGCGCAACCCUUAAGCUUAGUUGCCAUCAUUAAGUUGGGCACUCUAAGAUGACUGCCGGUGACAAACCGGAGGAAGGUGGGGAUGACGUCAAAUCAUCAUGCCCCUUAUGAUUUGGGCUACACACGUGCUACAAUGGACAAUACAAAGGGCAGCGAAACCGCGAGGUCAAGCAAAUCCCAUAAAGUUGUUCUCAGUUCGGAUUGUAGUCUGCAACUCGACUACAUGAAGCUGGAAUCGCUAGUAAUCGUAGAUCAGCAUGCUACGGUGAAUACGUUCCCGGGUCUUGUACACACCGCCCGUCACACCACGAGAGUUUGUAACACCCGAAGCCGGUGGAGUAACCUUUUAGGAGCUAGCCGUCGAAGGUGGGACAAAUGAUUGGGGUGAAGUCGUAACAAGGUAGCCGUAUCGGAAGGUGCGGCUGGAUCACCUCCUUU
rnacentral:rRNA from 1 species